CAGUCGCCGCGGGAAUACGAAGGGUGCAAGCGUUACUCGGAAUUACUGGGCGUAAAGCGUGCGUAGGUGGUGGUUUAAGUCCGUUGUGAAAGCCCUGGGCUCAACCUGGGAAUUGCAGUGGAUACUGGGUCACUAGAGUGUGGUAGAGGAUAGUGGAAUUUCCGGUGUAGCAGUGAAAUGCGUAGAGAUCGGAAGGAACAUCUGUGGCGAAGGCGACUAUCUGGGCCAACACUGACACUGAGGCACGAAAGCGUGGGGAGCAAACAGGAUUAGAGACCCGAGUAGUCCCUGUCUCUUAUAC
rnacentral:rRNA from 1 species